rnacentral:lncRNA from 1 species
GCAAUCCUUCCUUUAGAAAUUGAAAGAGGAGGAGAGGAGGAGAGACCCACAGUUGAUCUCUGAGAAGUGAGUAGCUGGAGGCACCAGGAUACCAGCCAAGCCUAAAGGAUAAAGCAAAUCCCUGGACAUGGCUUUUGAUUCCAAGCUAAGAAGUGCAAGUGGAGUACUAUGACAUAGACACGGAUGCCAGACAACGGAAGAUCAAAUGUCACCUUUAAUCUGGAAUCCUACAUUGGACACUGGACUAGAAAAACAUUUGUGGAAAAAGUAAUGAAAUUCAAAUACGGUUCCAUGGAUUAGCUAAUUGUAAUGUAUUAUGAAUCACCUGCUUUCUAUCUUUGUUCUGUGGUUAUGUAAAAAGUUAACAUUAAAGAAAGCUGGGGGAGAACAUACAGAAAUUCUCUGUAUUAUUCGUGCAAAUUGUAGGUCUAAAAUUAUUUCAAAAUUAAACUUUUUAAGUUAAACAUCUCCUUGAUUGCUGAUAAAGUCGAU